rnacentral:ncRNA from 1 species
UAAAGGUUUGGUCCUGGCCUUAUUAUCAGUUAUUUCUCGACUUACACAUGCAAGUCUCAGCACACCAGUGAGAACGCCCUUUUAACCUACACCAGGUAAAGGAGCUGGUAUCAGGCACAAAUUCUACCGCCCACAACACCUAGUCUCACCACACCCCCAAGGGUAGUCAGCAGUGAUUAAUUUUGUGUAUAAGCGUAAGCUUGACUCAGUAAGAGAAAAGAGGGCCGGCUAACCCGGUGCCAGCCGCCGCGGCUACACCGUGGGGCUCAAGUUGAUAGUCGUCGGCGUUAAGCGUGAUUAAAGUUAAUACAAAUUAGGGUUAAAUUAAUACUUAGUAGUUUUAUGCUUGCUAUUAAGAAACCCAUAAACGAAAGUUACCCUAAUAAAUACUUGAAUACACGACAGCUAGGAAAACAAACUGGGAUUAGAUACCCCACUAUGCCUAGCCGUAAACAAUUAAUUUACACCCAUCAGCGCCAGGGAAUUACGAGCAAUGCUUAAAACCCAAAGGAUUUGACGGUGUCCCACCCCACUAGAGGAGCCUGUUCUAUAAUCGAUGAUCCCCGCUUCACCCGACCACUCCUUGCUACCAGUCUGUAUACCUCCGUCGAAAGCUUACCAUGUGAACGCUCAAAGUAGGCUUAAUGACCUUACCGUCAACACGUCAGGUCAAGGUGCAGCUUAAGGAGUGGGAAGUAAUGGGCUACAAUUUCUAAUCUAGAAUAAACGAAAGACUAUGUGAAAUACUAGUCAUGAAGGUGGAUUUAGUAGUAAAAAGAAAGUAGAGUGUUCUUUUUAACUCGGCUCUGGGACGCGUACACACCGCCCGUCACCCUCUUCGAUAGUUACUUAUCCCGUUUCUAACCCACUACUACGUUUUAGAAGAGGCAAGUCGUAACAUGGUAAGUGUACUGGAAAGUGCACUUGGAAUACA